UGCAGAAUCCCGUGAACCAUCGAGUCUUUGAACGCAAGUUGCGCCUCAAGCCAUUAGGUUGAGGGCACGUCUGCCUGGGCGUCACAU
rnacentral:rRNA from 1 species